GCUGCUGUAGCUCAGUCGGUAGAGCGCGUCCUUGGUAAGGACGAGGUCAGGGGUUCAAGUCCCCUCAGCAGCU
rnacentral:tRNA from 1 species